rnacentral:rRNA from 1 species
AGUGAACGCUGGCGGCGUGCCUAAUACAUGCAAGUCGAACGGAGUGGCGCACGGGUGAGUAAUGUAUCGCUAAUCUGCCCUACACUAGAGGACAACAGUUGGAAACGGCUGCUAAUACUCUAUAGUGUAGGUUGAGGCUAUAUUGUAUCAGCUAGUUGGUGAGGUAAUGGCUCACCAAGGCUAUGACGCAUAACUGGUGUGAGAGGAUGAUCAGUCACACUGGAACUGAGACACGGUACAGACUCAUACGGGAGGCAGCAGUAGGGAAUAGUGGUCAAUGGGGGAAACCCUGAAGCAGCAACGCGGCGGAGAGGAUGACACGUUGCGGAGCGUAAACUCCUUUUGUUAGGGAAGCGGUACCUAACGAAUAAGCACCGGCUAACUCCGUGCCAGCAGCCGCGGUAAUUC